UCCUACGGGGGGCAGCAGUGGGGAAUAUUGCACAAUGGGGGAAACCCUGAUGCAGCAACGCCGCGUGAGUGAAGAAGUAUUUCGAUAUGUAAAGCUCUAUCAGCAGGGAAGAAGAUGACGGUACCUGAGUAAGAAGCCCCGGCUAACUACGUGCCAGCAGCCGCGGUAAUACGUAGGGAGCGAGCGUUGUCCGGAUUUACUGGGUGUAAAGGGUGCGUAGGCGGGUAAGCAAGUCAGAAGUGAAAUCCAUGGGCUUAACCCAUGAACUGCUUUUGAAACUGUUUAUCUUGAGUGAAGUAGAGGUA
rnacentral:rRNA from 1 species